rnacentral:rRNA from 1 species
CAGGGAAUAUUGCACAAUGGGCGAAAGCCUGAUGCAGCGACACCGCGUGCGGGAUGACGGCCUUCGGGUUGUAAACCGCUUUCAGGAGAGAAGAAACUGACGGUAUCUCCAGAAGAAGCUCCGGCCAACUACGUGCCAGCAGCCGCGGUAAUACGUAGGGAGCAAACGUUGUCCGGAUUUAUUGGGCGUAAAGGGCUCGUAGGCGGUUCAACAAGUCGGUCGUGAAAGCCCGGGGCUCAACCCCGGGAUGCCGGUCGAAACUGUUGUGACUAGAGUUCGGUAGAGGUGAGUGGAAUUCUCGGUGUAGCGGUGGAAUGCGCAGAUAUCGAGAGGAACACCAUUAGCGAAGGCGGCUCACUGGGCCGAUACUGACGCUGAGGAGCGAAAGCAUGGGGAGCAAACAGGAUUAGAUACCCCUGUAGUCC